CAAAACAGCAUCUUCCUCUCCAGCAAAAGAAACGACUCUCUCUCUCUCUCUCUUUCUCCCUCUCUCAUUUCCCUAUCCAUCUGCCUCUGCCUCUCCUUCUCCCUCACCUUCUAUCUAGUUGUCGCUUUGCUAUUUCAGUAAAAGAUUUAGGGUUCUGUUAUUUCAAAUAUAUUUAUAUGCAGAUUAAGGCUUUUUCUUUGUCAGAUUUGAGUUCUGACAUGUAUGAGAGCGAAGUGCUUGACCGCAAGAAGAAGAGGUCGUUGAAGAACGUUACUGGGGAUCAAAUCGCUGAGUAAGGAGCAACAGAAGAUUGUAAUUUCUUAUGUUAGGGUUUUUAUGUUUUAUGUUUUAUGUUUUAUAAAUUUGUAAUUGUUAUUAAUUGUAUGGUGUGCUCCCUUUGAUUAAAUAGGCAACUCGAAGAUCGUUUCAGGCUAUUCAAAUUAUUCGAACCCCUUUGGUGAUUCCAAUCUCAGUGAAAUGUAGUUUUUAUCUUUGUUUUUUGGGAUUUAUGUGAGGAAGUUUGCUGAUAGAGGUUUUAGCUUUCCAAUUUCAAAUGUCGAAUUCAAGCUUCCGAGGUUUCAGUUAGAGAUUUACAUGCUCCCUUCUUCUCCCUCUUCCUAUCUCUGGUUUUUUAUUUGCUAUUUCAUUAAGAG
rnacentral:lncRNA from 1 species